rnacentral:tRNA from 1 species
GCCUGGGUGGCUCAGUCGGUUGAGCGUCCGACUUCAGCUCAGGUCACGAUCUCGCGGUCCGUGAGUUCGAGCCCCGCCUCAGGCU